rnacentral:rRNA from 1 species
UAUCAACUUUCGAUGGUAGGAUAGAGGCCUACCAUGGUGGUAACGGGUAACGGGGUGUUAGGGCACGACACCGGAGAGGGAGCCUGAGAAACGGCUACCACAUCCAAGGAUGGCAGCAGGCGCGCAAAUUACCCAAUCCCGACACGGGGAGGUAGUGACAAUAAAUAACAAUACGGGGUUCUUUCGGAUCUCGUAAUUGGAAUGAGUACAAUUUAAAUCUCUUAACGAGGAACAAUUGGAGGGCAAGUCUGGUGCCAGCAGCCGCGGUAAUUCCAGCUCCAAUAGCGUAUAUUAAAGUUGUUGCAGUUAAAAAGCUCGUAGUUGAAUUUCGGGGUUAGUAGGUUGGUCAUGCCUCUGGUAUGUACUGGUCUCACUGAUUCCUCCUUCCUGAUGAACCGUAAUGCCAUUAAUUUGGUGUUGCGGGGAAUUUGGACUGUUACUUUGAAAAAAUUAGAGUGUUUAAAGCAAGCUAACGCUUGAAUACAUUAGCAUGGAAUAAUGAAAUAGGACGUUCGAUCCUAUUUUGUUGGUUUCUAGGAUUGACGUAAUGAUUAAUAGGGAUAGUUGGGGGCAUUAGUAUUCAAUUGUCAGAGGUGAAAUUCUUGGAUUUAUUGAAGACUAACCACUGCGAAAGCAUUUGCCAAGGAUGUUUUCAUUAAUCAAGAACGAAAGUUAGGGGAUCGAAGACGAUCAGAUACCGUCGUAGUCUUAACCAUAAACUAUGCCGACUAGGGAUCGGAUGAUGUUAAUUUUUUAAUGACUCAUUCGGCGCCUUACGGGAAACCAAAGUGUUUGGGUUCA